rnacentral:lncRNA from 10 species
GGGUUUUCACCAUGUUGGCCAGGAUGGUCUCGAUCUCUUGACCUCGUGAUCCACCGACCUUGGCCUUCCAAAGUGCUGGGAUUACAGGUGUGAGCCACCGUGCCUGGCAAGCUUAUUUGCAAAGCAUCAUCUAAAACCCUAGAAAGGAGGUGACAUUAUUAUUCCCAUUUUAAAUUUUAUUGUAUGUAUGUAUUUAUUUACUUACUUAUUUACUUACUUUAUUUUUACUUUCCAGACAGGGUCUCUCUUUGUUGCCUAGGCUGGAGUGCAGUGGAACGAACUUGGCUUAUUGAAGCAUUGACCACCUGGACCCAAGUGAUUCUCCUACCUUAGCCUCUUGAAUAGCUGUGACAACAGGUGUGCACUACCACACCCAGAUAAAUUUUGUAAUUUUUAUAGAGAGGGCAUUUGACCAUGUUGCCCAGGCUGGUCUCAAACUCCUGAGCUCAAGUGAUACUCCUGCCUCGGCCUCCCAAAGUGCUGGGAUUACAGAUGAAGAAAAUGAGGCACUGAGAGAUUACAUAACUUCCCUUGAGUCAUAUUUGCUUGUAAGUGGUAAGGCUGGAUGUUGAACCCAGGACAAAGGGGUAUGUAUGCAUGUAUGUAUGUAUUUAUUUUUAAUUUAUUUUUUAAAGACAAGAUCUCUGCUGUCACUCAGGCUCAAGUACAGUGGCAAGAUCAUAGCUUACUGCAGCCUUAACCUCCUGGGCUCAAGGAAUCCUCCCGCCUCAGCCUCCUGAGUAGCUGGGAAUAUAGGUAUAUUCUGCUGUACCUGGCUAGAUGUUAAAAGCUAGUGGCUUUUAAGCUUUGUGCUAUACCACCUUUUUCAAGACCACUGAGUUCAGAUAGUGACCUCAGAGUGAGGACACAAUGGCACUCCAGCUCAGACAGGUCUCUGGGGAUAGUGACAGAAUUCUCUCUUCCCAGUGUCCACUCAAGGGACAGAAUUCUGUACCUUAGGCCAGAAUUUCCUCCAGUUCUUUCCAUCCCUUGGGCAACCUACAUAUCUGUGGCCUAUUCUAGGGGACUGGAAGUGACAGCUGAGACCUGCUUAGUGACGUGACAUCAUGGGAAUUUGAGAGCACAGGCUUUGAGGCUGGCAUGGUGAUAGUAAUUACUGGCCUCAGCAUGACGGGGAGGGUGACUGAGAUAAGCGCCUGGAAAGAGGCUGGCAGGGUGCCGGGCACUUAGAAGGCACCCGGUGUGGUGGAGAUGGUUGGCCUUGUGGAUUGUCCUGUAGUCUGUUAAUUCCUAGGACUGGAAUACUAAUUUUAUGGUUGGGGGAUACUUGAUAGAACUUGUUUCUGCAGGAUGAGAAGGAAAAUGCUCUGCAAAUUUGCAGAGCACUGACUAUAAAAAUUGAGACCAGAGAACUUACUAUAAGCUGGGUACCCUGGGAGGCACUGACAUAUAUCAUCUCACAAUCUUUGCAAACAACUCUAGGGAACGGGACACCCCUGUUACAGAUGAGGAGGCUGAGGAUCAGAGAUGAGCUUGCUCAAGGUCGCUUAGCUA